GUAGGGAAUAUUGGACAAUGGGGGCAACCCUGAUCCAGCGACGCCGCGUGAGUGAUGAAGGCCUUCGGGUCGUAAAGCUCUGUUGCAGGGGAAGAACACAAUGACGGUACCCUGCUAGAAAGGAUCGGCUAACUUCGUGCCAGCAGCCGCGGUAAGACGAGGGAUCCUAGCGUUGUUCGGAAUUAUUGGGCGUAAAGCGGGUGCAGGUGGCUUGGUAAGUCAGAUGUGAAAGCCUGGGGCUUAACCCCAGAAGUGCAUUUGAUACUGCUGAGCUUGAGUGCUGGAGAGGCUAUUAGAAUUCCUGGUGUAGUGGUGAAAUACGUAGAUAUCAGGAGGAAUACCGGAGGCGAAGGCGGAAAGCUGGCCAGACACUGACACUCAGACCCGAAAGCGUGGGGAUCAAACAGGAUUAGAUACCCUAGUAGUCC
rnacentral:rRNA from 1 species